ACUGAUCUGGUCCAGGUGGAGGCGCUGUAGCUCCAAGAAGCAGCAGAGUUUUGAGUGUAAAACAGGAAAGAAACGCAUUCGCACACAGGUAAAUCCUCACAACAGGCAGAAGCAGAGAAAACAGAAUGCCUCGAUCCACGAAGCAUAAAGAGACUGGGUCCCGCUGUAUUACUCAGGCUGCACUACAGCGUCUAUUCACAGGCGCGAUCCCACUACUGAGCGGCACGGGGGCUUUGACCUGCUCCGUCUCCGACCUGGGCCGGUGCACCCCUCCUCAGACGACCUGGUGGUCCCGGGCUCCCCCAGGAACACCAUAUCGAUACCGAACUUAGUGCGGACACCCGAUCGGCAUAGUCCACUGCAGCUCAGAGCUCCUGAGCUCAAACGAUCCUCCAGCCUCAGCCUCCCGGUAACUUGGAUUACAGGCGCGCGCCACCACACCCGGCGAGAAGCUCCGUUCAUUCACGGAGGUUUGGAGAGAGCAGAGGUGACGUCAUCACGCUGCAGCGACACCUGCACACACAGACAGACAGACAGCCUCAUCAUGGACAUAAGAUUGUUUUUUUGGAAAAAAAGAGCCAGAUUCAGUCCAAAGAGGGAGAGAUGAAAAAUGGGAAGUAGAGGAGAGUGCAAGGUCAAGAAGAACCAGGUCCGGCAACCCCCUACCCUCCCAUGGUGACAGCAGCCCUUGAUGCCACCCUCAGCUCAGGAGUGACCCAGGGAACACGACAGAGCUAAGAAAGAGCAGAGUCAGGGAGGAGAUGGAUCAGAGGCCAGCAGCAGGGACAAGGAUGUCGGGUCUUUACAGAUGUUCAGAGGGAGGUGAUGCCACAUCUGGUCCAGCUGAUGGAAGGUCUUGAAGUUCUCUGACUGAAGAUGAUCCUCUGACUGGAUUUAAGGUUCAGAUGCUCAGGAACAAACUCCAGCAAUGAGCCAUCAGGGAAGCUUUAGGUUUAUUAAAUGUUGCUAUGAAGGUAUCGCUGUUUUACUUUGUGAAUGCGAUGUGGUCCAACUGAAACUUGAACUAGAGCUUAGAAGUAAAUCCUUCCAUCUGACAGGAUUUAGUUGCAUUAAUAACCUCAUAACGUUCUAAUUUUCAUCCCAGUCUUGGUUGGAAAUAGAAUCUCUGUAUUGAUUCGGGUAAAAACUGAACUUCACGACAUGUUGGAGCAAAACAAGCAGAUGAAAGUGUGAUGGCGUUGAGUUGUCAGACCGUAAUGUUGCAGCUCAAAGCAGCUUUUCUAUCUCAGUUCAUUCUGACAUUCAGCUCUGAAUCGACAGCAGAUCCAGUUGAUGGUGAUCCAUGCUGUGGAAGUCUCACAUCUCCUCAUUUAAUGACACUGUUUUUUCACCCACACUUUAUUUAAUAAAAGUCCCAUUUAGUUUUUAUGAGGAAUGUGACGUUUUAAUUUCUCUGUGAAUAACUGCAGUCUAGUGGAACAGCUGGAGUUGUAACAUCUGUCCUGAUAUUGAUCAUGAAGUACUGAUCAGAAUACUUUUGGUUAGCAGUCAUCCCUGAAGUUUUACAUGAAAAAAUCUUUACUUGUGUUGUGAACUUUGGUAAGAAGCAGAAACUUUAGCGUUGCCACGGAUCCAUGGGUGUUAAAUUCAGUCCAUGUUUCAUUUUGGGAUGCAGUCCAGCAGAUGACUUUGUUUUUACUGACAGCUACCAUUCAGUCGGAGAUAUUAAGAAUAAAUAAAUGUGCAUAAUGUGGAAAUGAA